UAGCUAACUCGCGCCCGUGUUUACUCGCAACUCGCAUCUAUUCGUUAUCGCGCGACUCGGCAAACAUCGGCAAACAUCGCCCGUUCCAUUAGUCCAGUUCUUUAUUCAAAUUCUGUUUGCUCAUUGGUCGGCCGGCAGAUAAAAUCAACAGAUAGUUACAUCGUAUAUCUUUGAUAGGAUAUCUUUAAAAAAGAUCUCGACGGUUUGAGAAUGUCCUCCUUUCGAAGAAGACGCACAAGUUUCACCAGUUGCCAAUGUACUACGAUGUGUGGCGAAAUCAACACAGCACAGCAAACCGGCAAGAUGGGAAAGAGUGACAAUACACAGCGAAUUCCACAUUGAAAUAAAUAAAUAAUAAAAUUUUAUUUAUCCACAGUUACA
rnacentral:lncRNA from 1 species